AGAUGCCAUGAGUCCAAAGGAAUCAUCCCGCCCCCAGCAGACAAGCGUGGAGCCAGCCUGCUCCUCUGGCCAAAGCAUUCCACCCCCGGACCUCUCCUCCAGGAAGAAGAGAUGUGGAAGAAGAGAUGUGGGUAUGGUGGAUUCUGACCCUUGGCUCCCCAAAGUUCCACAGAGCCCAGCUCCCACUGAAGGCAUAUGACCCAGAUCCUGAGAACCAGAUGCACCGGCCUGAGCUUUCGUCAGAAGCAAGGACACACAGAACCUUUCUUAGAGGCAUCAUUAGAGGACCGGACAUGGUGGCCAGAGGCUGCAGGGACAGAAGUCCCAGGGCCAUGUCCAGGAACUGGGCUCAGGGGACCUCCUGGUGCCACCUGCAUAUCUGAGCCCAUGGAGUUCCUCUGGUCUAUUCAGUUCUCUCAUUUUAACUUAAUUUUGUUUUUGUAGGCUUUCUUAAAAAAUUGCCCAGUUCAUUUACCUGAUCACGUUUAUUGUUCAGAGUUGAGUGUGGUUCUCUCGUAAUUAUUUAGUCUCCACUGGGUCUGUGAUUAUAUUUCCUUUCUUAUUGCUAAUGCUGUUUGUGUUUGAUUUUCUUCUUUUUUUUCUUGGCCUGACUUAAAGAGGUUUGUCUGUUUUAUCUUUAUUUUAAAAAUAACCAACUGUUUAUUUUUACUUCUCCACUGUGAUUUCCCCCUUUAUUUCUUUAAUGUUUGAGUUUAUAUUUUUUCCUAUUUAUUUUGGCUUAAAUUUUAUUAUCAUUUUGCUAUAUCCUUGUGUCAAGCGCUUAAUUCAAUUAUUUUGUUAUUUUGACUUCUAAAAAAUCAGUUAAUUCUAUAAGUUUUCCUCUAUGUACUACAUUGAGCAAACUCCACAGAUUUCUGUAGGGGGCAUACUAAUUGUAAUUCAAUUUCGUUUUCCAUGUGUAGGUCCAGAUUUAUUUGAAUGUCCAAAUACUUAGAAUUGUAGGCUCUUGUUUUGUUAUUAAAGUCUGGUUUUAUUACAUUGUGUUUAGAGAAAAUAAUAUGGAGGAUUUUAAUUUUAGAUAAAGCAUUAAUAUCUUUUUUAUCCUCAAACAUGAUCAAUUUUUGACAGUGUUCCAAAAAUAUACUAUGAAAUAUAUAUUAUCUGUUGGAAUAGAGUAAUAUAUGUACACACUCUGCCAUGUGCAUAUGUUUAUAUAUCAUAUUUAGUCAAUGGUAGUUGUGUUAGCCAAGUCCUGGAGUCAUCUCGAUUCAAGUUUGUUGAGGCAGAAUUGUCAAUUUCGUCCUCAGCUCAGCUUCAACUACUUAACAGAACCUGAUUCAUAUAGGAAUUAAGUAAAUGUUUGUUGAAUGAAAUUCAGUGUCCCCAACCUUUUUGGCACCAGGGACUGGUUUUGUUGAAGACAGUUUUUCCAUGGAUGAUGGUAGGGGAUGGUUUCAGGAUGAUUCAAGUGCAUUACCUUUAUUGUGCACUCUAUUUCUAUUAUUAUUACACUGUAAUUAAUGAAAUGAUGGUAAAACUCACAAUAAUGUAGAAAUCAGUGGGAGCUCUGAGCUUGUUUUCCUACAACUAGAUGGUCCUCUCUGGGGGUGAUGGGAGACAGUGACAGAUCACCAGGCAUUACAUUCUCAUAAGGAGUGUGCAACCUAAUAUAGAUUCCUCGCAUGCACAGACCACAAUAGGGUUCGUGCUUCUAGGAGACUCUAAUGCCACCACUGAUCUGACAGGGGGUGGAGCUCAGGUGGUAAUGUGAGCCAGGAGGAGUGGCUGUAAAUACAGAUAACACUUCGCUCACUCACUUGCCAGUCACCUCCUUCUGUGUGGCCUGGUUCCUAAUGGGCCAUGGACUGGUACUGGUUCAUGUAGCUUUGCUAAAUUUUUCUGCAUUUAAAAUAUAUUUUAUUGAGAUAUUUCUGGAACUUUUGGGUGCCUAGAUUUGUGAUGUUAUACAGUGGUGCUCAUUUUAGGAAUAUUUAUUAAAUGCUUUUGGUGUGCUGGGCACUGUGCUAAGCACUAGAAAUACAAUGGCAGAUAAAAGAAUCUAGUGGCCUCCUGCACUUUAUGAUUCAUACAUUAUAGCUACAAAACAAACAAUAAACAAGCAGAUAAAUAAGUAUUAAUUUAAAAGAAUCCCGGUUGGUGCUAUGAAGGAAACAAAUGAGCAGCCUUUUCAAGGUAUGGAGGGGAUGGGACUGUUUGUGGGACGGUCAGGAAGGUCUCCCUGGGGAGGGCGCACUGAAGCCAAGGCCAGAGGACAGGUGGCCAGCCCCAUGAAAAGCUGGGGCAGGCUUCCAGGCAAAGAGACCAUGCCUUUUGUAAAUGUGGCAUCCCCUUCUCUCAUUUAAUGUGUUACCUUGAGUUCUACGUUGGAAAUACUGCUUCUGUCUUCUUUUUGUUAGUGCUUACAUGAUCCAUAUUUAUCUACACAAUUAUACAAUCCAUACAAUUAGGUAUUAUGAUGGUUAAUUUUAUGUGUCAAUGUGGUGUGCCUAAGGGAUGCCCAGAUGGCUGGCAGUGCAUUAUAUCCGGUGUGUCUGUGUGGGUGUUUUGGAAGAGGCUGGCAUUUGAAUCGUGGACUGAAUAAGAAGACCCAUCCUCACCAGCGCAGGCAGGCAUUGUCCAAUCCAUUGAGGGCCUGAAUAGAACAAAAAGGUGGAGGAAAAGUGGAUCUACCCUCUCCUGCUUGAGUGGAGACAUCCAUCCUCUCCUGCCCUUGAGCACUGGUGCUCCUGGUUCUCAGGUUUCCCUACCCAAACCGGGACUUAGGCCAUCAGCCACCGCCUUCCCCUUUUCUCAAGCCUUAGGGCUCAGGCUGCAUGUCACCACCGGCUUCCCUGCUUCCUAGCUGACAGAUGGCAGAUUGCAGAAAUUCUCAGCCUCCACAACCACGUGAGCCACUUCCCUGAAUAAGUCUCCUCUUCAUACAGUCCUCCCUUGGUGUGGGUGGGGAUUCGUUCCAGGACCCCCGAGUAUAUCAAACUCCAUGCAUACUCAAGUCCCGCUGUCAGCCCUGCAGAACCCGUGUGUAAGGAAAGGCAGGCCUCUGCAUAAGCAGCCUUCGCUUGCUGGGAAUACUGUGUUUUCCAUCAGAGUUUGGUUGGAAAAUCUGAGUAUAAGUGGAUCCAUGCAUUGAAACCUGUGUUGUUCAAGGGACAAGCAUCGAGGAUAGGCACAGGCUACUGGAGACAAAUAUGGGAAUGUGGCUAUGGGCAAGACAGUGCUGGUGGGGCAGGCAUCACUCCAACAAGCGGACAACAGCAGGGAUCAGUGAGUUGCCAGGGGUCUGGGCAUGAGUGCUGAACAAGUUGGAGGUCUUCCUUGGAGCCGGCCUCAGGCUGGGAGAGGAUUGUGGGGCCUGAGCGGCUCCAGCCUGGAUGGGUCCAGUCAGGAACUCUGCAAGAGGAGCUCACCUGUGCACACAGGGAUGCAUACUGGGAGAGAGGAGAAGCCGGGGUCAGAGGCUCUGGCCCUCUUGCACUGCAUGUGGGGAGCUGCAACUCAGGGAGGCUGCUGGGCAAUGGUCAGUGCCAACAGAGUGGAUGCAUCACAGCCAUGAAGCUGUGGUCAUGCAGAGCACAGCAUGAGAGCCUCUGACCGAGUUGUCUGACUGGGGUUGUGGAUGGAGUUGAUGGGCACAGGGAAGAGAGGAGGAGGGGCUUGCUUAGCAGAAAAGAUACUGAGUUGAGUUGGGGGCAUGUGGAAUUUGAGGUGCCUGUGGGAGACCCAUUUGAGAUGUUCAGUAGACAAGUGGGGGCACCCAGUUGAGCACUGGAAAUGGGGCUCUGGACCCUUGAAGAGAAGCCAGCAGUUGGGUCAUUGCAUGAGAGGUGGUUGUGGUGAUGAUGGGAACUGGUAAGAUUGCUCAGGUUAAAAUGAAGAAAACAAGCCAAGGAAAAACGAUGGUCAAGGCAAAUACAGUAAGGAUCGACGGCAUCCUUGAAGUACUUCUUUGUCUCCAAGAGCAUUCAUUCUAUUUCAUGUGCAAUGAGAAUUCUAGCAUUUUAGCACUGUUUAAAAUUAAUGACUCAGAGGGAAUUCUGGCCCCACACAAGCGCCUGCUAGAUGGGUAAGCCUCGCUGCCUGCCUUUCUGAAUUGCUUGUCGCACAAUUGGGCCAUUCACUGUGUUCCGGGCCCUCUGUGUGUUUCCUCUUUUCCAGCUUAGACCUAUUUGUUAGGGAAAACAAUCUACUUCUCAGGGUUUCAGUUUUAUGUACUGUUGAUCUAUUGCUUUAUUUCUCUAAUCUCUUUCCCACAGUCAAUAGUUUUUACUACCUGGAGCUGAAAACAGCCUACAGGAUACCAAAGCGUGAGUUUAUUUAGAACAAAGAAGACCCUCUGAUUCCAGUGAGGUCAGGGAGGAGGCCAAACAGUCAACCCACUUGCUUAGGACAUGUGGCCUAAACCGUAAUUUGACUUUGCGUUCACUUUUCAACUAGUUGCAUUGGCCUUAUGGUUUUUAUUAAACUGUAAAUCUCUUUACCACAUUGAAAAUUGUGGAACGCAUUUCUUCUUCUCGAGUCUGUGCAUCUGAAGGCCAUAGGUGGACAAGUGCACAGCGCCAGUGGAAAAUGGCUUUUCUGGAAUAUCAGGUUCGGUCCUCAGAGACUAAGAGCACUCCAUGUGGUGGGCAAUAAAUCUGAAUUCUGCUGCGUUUAAUUAAGGUAAUUUUCCUACUUAGCUCCACAUGUGGAGAUGAGAUUCAAUUUUACUGUGCCUUAAAGAACAUGUCCUUUCAAACGUGUCACCAGAAUGGAAUGCGACCACAGAUCGACAUGUGACGAGCCUCUAUCGCCUCAAGGGAGAAGAACUGUGGCAGGAACGCAAUCUGUCCCGUUCUCCUGCUCCUGUGGGUUUUUCCAUUGCAUGGAUAUGGGUUGUGAGGGAAUGGAGUCCCUCUACAGAGAUAUCAGAUGCAGAUGGAGGGCAGAGCAGGGUGAGAAGUUGAGCCAGAGGAGGAGACAGAUUGUUGGAUAAUGUUUUCUUGCUAGGUACAGUGUCAGUGAAUAAAUAUUUUGAUCAUCAGAAAGACCAAGGAUCCAUAUUCCUGACUCUUUUGCAGAAUAAUUAAUAAACGUUAUGGGAAUCACCUAGUAUCUCCAUAUCAUCCAUACUGUGAGGGUUGAUUUUAUGUGUUGACCAGGUUAAGGAUGCAGACAGCUGGUCAGACAUUAUUUCUGGGUGUGCUCGUGAGUGUGUUUCCAGAAGAGAUGAGCUUUUGAAUCAGUGGACUGAGUAAGAAGGUCCGCCCUCACCCAUGUGAUUGGGCACCAUGCAAUCUGUUGAGGGCCCAAAAAGAACCGAAAGGCAGAAGGGAAAAUUCUCUCUUUCUCUCCUUGGGCUGGGUUGCCCCUUUUCUCCUGCCUGCAGACACAAGCACUUUUGGUUCUCAGGCCUGCAGACUCAGACUUGAACCUACACUGUUGGCUUUCUUGAUUCUCAGGCCUUCAGGUUUGGGCUGAAUCACACCACUGGCUUUCCUGGGCUCCAGGGUGUCGAUGGCAGAUCGUGGGGUCUCUCAGCCUCCACAAUCCCAUCAGCCAAUUCCCAUAAUCAAUCUCUUUUUAUCUAUAUCUAUAUAUAGAUAUCUCUCUCUCUAUCUUAUUAUUCUGUUUCUCUGGAGAAUGCUAAUACAGAGUUCUUGAAAAGACUCUGAAAACAACCACAUCACCACCAAGGGAACAUGGAGCCUCCUGGGUCACGAGAGGCCUGAGAGGCAUGGUGGACGUGCCUGAGUUUCCUCUACAGGGUUCUUGUUAAGAGGUGGCCCAACCCAUGCUUGGCCACGUUGAGAAAAAGGAAACGCAUCCUCCCAAAGGAAGGCCCGUUCCACUGCUGGAGAAUUCAGGCUACUGAAAGCUUCUUGCUUAUGUGAUUUUGCCCAAUUCCGUUUCCGAGUCUGUCCCUUUUGUUCUAGUCCCUUCUUUUAGAGGAACAUGGAGCAAUAACAAUGACUCUUACCGAGGCCAAUUCUCUAUUAGGCUCCAGGCAGCCAAGGUGACAAAGGAUGUGUAUCCUCAUCCUUCAGAAGGUGAUAGUUGAGAGGAGCGUGGGAGAAAACCAUAAGCCCCCCAAGGUUAGGGUCACAUCUAUUCAUCUGUAUUUUGGUGACUAGCAGAGCACCUGGCAAAAAGUAGACUCUUCAGAUAGUUUUGAGAGGCCCGGGAAACACAAGAACUACAUUACCCUUCUCUAGUUACUCUUCUAUCCUGUUGUCAAACUUGGCCUCACCAGUGAAAACCUGCCUCACCUUGGUGGCUACUCCAGCUAAGCUCCUGCUUCCUGCCCUCACAGCUGGCUUACAGCAUCAAGCCCCAUGGGAUGAGUGCUCCAUCCUGACUGCCAUGUCUGCACUGUGUCUGCACAGUGUCUGUGAGGCCCCAUCUGUCAUGACCCGAUGCUGGCCAGCCUGGCCUGGGCAGAGCUCCGAGGAGCAUGUGAGUGCUUGAACACAUGCACAAUGCAACCCCCACCAUGGAGUCUAUGCUUCUUGGAUGCUCACUCCACGAGGUGAGGGGCAUGGGAUAGUUGUCUCUGCUCUGUGUGAACUCAGUCUGGCCUGGUAGAUAACACAGACAUGCAAGGCAACUGUGGUAAGUGACAGAGAAGCUGCCAGUUGGCCCUGUAGUUGAGAGGAAGAGUAAUGUGCAGUGUCAGCGUGCUGUCCAAGGAGUUCUUGGCAUGGCUGGAGGCACUUCACACCUGAAGAUGGCUGGUCAGACCACUGGAACAUCCCUCGUUAGGCACCAUGUGUCAGAAGCCUCAUUAGUGUAUCAAGGAAUGCUCAGGCUUCCUGGAGGAUUCAUCCAUUCACAGUUGCUAAAAGGAAGCCUACCGUGUGCUAGAUGGGGCUGGACCAGGCCCUCCACCUUUGUGACCUUGUCCUGCUGUUUAAGGAGUCCAGUGCAUUCUGCAUUGGCGAUUACCUAGUUAGGGUGACCAGAGUGAGCAAAUAAAACACAAGAUGCCCAGUUAAAUUUGAAUUUUAGAUAAACAGUAAAUUUUUCAGUUGUACUACACAAAGGAACAUAUUAAAAUUCUUUGCUGUGGAGGCAAAUAUAAAACUAGGUAGAAUAGGCAAGGUGUGGUGGCUCAUGCUUGUAAUCCCAACAUUUGGGAGGUCGAGGUGGGAGGAUGGUUUGAGUCCAGGAGUUUGAGAGCAGCCUUGGCAACAUAGACCCCAUAUCUACAAAAAAAAUUAGCUGGUGUGGUGGCAUGCCCCUGUAGUCCCAGCUACUCAAGAGGCUGAGUCAGGAGGAUUGUUUGAGCCCAGGAGGUGGAGGCUGCAGUGUGCUGUGAUCAUGCCACUGCACUCUAGCCUAUGUGGCAAAGCAAGACCAUGUCUCAAAAAAAAAAAAAAAAAAGAAAGAAAAAGAAUAAGAAAAUAGGAUGUAAGAAGGAAGAGAGAGAGAAGUCACAGUUACCAUUGCUAGUGGGAGGUGACUAGGUAGAAAACUCCAGGUUGGCUAACCUCCCUUCAGCUUUGCCAAGAGACCAGUCUAUGCCAUGGCCAGUGAUGGACCCAGCCCAAGGUGCACACAGGUGAUUGGGUUGGGGAGAGUGUGGAAGACCAAGUCUGGUUUUCCUUCCCUUCAGAACCCACUACAGAAAUGAACAGUGGGGGACUCCAGUUCUCACCCUGGAGCCAAGAUGGCAAGGUGACAGCAUGUCAUAACAGCUGUUCAGAGCUAGGACUCAGGGAUCAAGCUGAGCUGCACACCAACUGGGGUGCUGUGGGCGAGCAAUCCCUUAUUAUAUCUAAGGCAGAUAAGAGAAGGAGUUAACCCCUAAGGAUCUUGUAAGGAUUAAAUUAGUUAAUGUAGGGAAAGGUGUUAGUUAAAUUCCUGGUCCAUAGUAUCUAUUUUAUUUUAAUUCCUAAGAAAAUAUAGUAUCUCUGUGUCUGCUUCAUCGACCAGACUGUAUUGCAGAUGGUUUAAGACCAGGCAGCAAAUUUGAGGUGGAGUCAUGGUUAUCAGAAUGGCUGCCCAGACCACAAAGCUGAUUUAUCUCAAUCAUAACAGCAGCAAAUUCCUGUUAUUGUAGUGAAUCACAGCAUGUAAGCGCACAGAUGCAGGCGCCGGGGUUCAGAGGGCUGGGUUGUGUGGGGAGGGUAACGAAAAACAGACACUUGCAGGGCCCUAACAAUGUGUGUAGCAACUGAACCUGCAGCCUGCUUACACAAAACAGGCCUUAAUGAAACUCAGUUUCAAAAUGGAAUAUUUUUCCUAAAUGAUAAGGUAUUGCAUAUGGUUCUUUUCCCAUUGUGUAGUAAUUCCUUCUAAAGCAAACAUUUUAAAGAUUUUAACUGAGGUUGGAAAACUAAAACUUGCCUCAGUAUAAAAAUGUCGAAGCCAUCUGCUAGAAAAUCACAGCUCUGCGAUAUAAAACACCCAGAGCUGUGUUGCUCAAACUAAUUUAAUCACAAAAUACCAUUUCCUUGAUCCGAAGGGAAACAUUUCUACUUGGCCACUAGAGCUUUCUGGAGAAAGGCACUUAUAUUUGCAGUAAGGUAUAUUAGUAAUUUUGAAUUUCAAAGAGAAAACAGAGCAGGGAUUUUGGAAAACAUAUGUUGAAAGGGUAAUUUCAAUUCUUUGCAGAUGAGAAAAGUUUUUGUUAAAACAACUGACAGACACUGAGAAACAUGGCCAUCAGUUUGAAGGAAAGUAAUUGAGUUGUGCAGUUUGCAUUUUAUUUUGCACACGUUUAACAAUUAAAAGCUUUUCUGUACUAUGAGAACAAAACCCCCCAAACACCAAUGCAAUGGCAGAAAGUUGGGAGUCAAAUCAGGCAGCACACACACGAACACUGUGUUCACAUGAUGAGGACCACAUUUUUGAGACAUUUUCUGAAAAGAACCUGUAUAUGUGUGUGUGUGUAUGUAUAUAUUCUUUUUUCCUGCCAGAAUCUCUUGUUGAAUGAUCAUCAAGUUAGUUCUGGAAAAUAGGUUCCAAUAUUGCUCCAUUCAUUGGCAUAGGUUGACUUUAUCUUAUUCCAAUUUAAUUGGCAGCUGUUUUCUUAGAUAGUUUUGCAUAAAAUGGUGCUCAGAGAACAAGUAGAGUUUUAAACAUGACACAGUCGUGUAUUUGAGGAUGUUUAUGUUAUAUAUGUGCUUGUUAAUUUAGUAGUUAUGAGUUUAAUAAUAACUUUGAGCUCUUUAGACAUGGAUCCUCAUAUAUAUUAACAAAAUCAGCUGUGUGCCUUAACCAACAGUGAGCAUAUUUUUUAAAAUGGGCCUCUGAAUUGAAAAUUUAAAAAAACCCUUCAGCAUCCUAUUAGGAUUGAUUAACCCACAGGAGGGUAAUCCUGGUAAGCAAACGUAACCAAGAUUCUCCUUCCCCAGUGAUUCCAAGUGCAGCCUGGCUCUCCUGGUCAGGUGCUUCCUUUACUCAAUAUUUCCUGAUCUGUUCCUAGAUCCUAAUACCACCCUCUGCGUCAACCUGUGAAUGCAUCCUCACUACCAGGGCUCAGGACUUGGAGCCGGGAUUUUGCUGACAUGGUCUUUUCUCUGGUUGUCACCUUCCAUUUCUUCUUUGGUUUGCCUUUCAUUUUAAUGCCAGAUUUUCUAAGUGUAAGAAAGGAGGGUGGAGAGUGGGCAGAAGUCAUUGUUUCCAUCAUGAAAGUCAACAUCAGUAUUUCCUGUCCUGGGGACAAACCAGUGCCUCAUGUUUCUGGAAACGCUGCAGCAUUUAACUUCAAUUUUAAUCUGGAUAACGCCAAAGCUUUUCCUCAAAUUCACCCCUGGAGUCAGCUCAUAGAUGCUCUGAUUUUGUCUACCAUUGCUCCUCCUUAAUAUCUCUCGCACAGGUGCCAUUGACCUUUAGAUGGGCUGUACGGUGUGGGGUUCGGUGCCAUGGAUCUGCUUCUCCAGGGACCAGGAUCUUGAGAUCUUCAGGCUGGGUUUCCAUGGAGGCAUGGAGCUGCUUUUCCUCCUUCAUAACUGCACUCAAAACAGCCCUGUUGCUCUAGAAUGGAGACUUGGGCAACUCCUUCUGGCACAGAUUUGUUCACCUCAGGUGAAAUUCAGAUAGAAGCAAGCUGCAGGCAGUUUCACCUCUAAGUCCAUGGGUUCUCAACUGGUAACGUCCUCUUAUGGAUGUUAGCCCAUGAGGUCAAUCCUGUAGCAAUCUAAGGCUUGAGAAAAAUUAAUCUUCUGGAAAAUUCCAAGAAUACAUCUUAGGGAAACUGGCUCUACCUUUAUGACUUGGAUCACACAAGGAUAUGCUUUUCAUCUUGGACUAGAACUGAGAGCCAAUGGAUGUGUUAUCUAAAACUAUCCCAGUGUGUUCACUAUACAGAGGAAGAUUCUGAGAUUCAAGACUCAAGACUGAAGAAGAUCAUUAUUUUUAUUAUUUUAGUCUUAUGCACAAAAUGAUAUCUACUGAAUAAGCAGGUUUUUAAUAGGUGACUUAUAUAUGUUAGCAAAAAUAAACACUUUGUCUUUUAGAUCUAUUCUAGUUUUUCAGUAGCUGUAGACUUAAGUGCUAACUUUUAGCCCAUAGGAUAAGAAGAAACCAAGUCCUAAAAGUAGGCCAGCACCAGGGUUCAGGCCUCUGACUUCAAGCCAAGGGCUCAUCAUCUUGAAUUGCGCACGAAUUUUUACACAGCGCCAAAGGAAACUGCCUGUACUUACUGUUGUAGGUGCUUUGCUGGAUUCAGGAUGCAGACAAGGUCCACGCAUUGUGGUUGGAAUGUGGCAGAAUUGGCCGGAAGCAGAAUUGCCUGUUUCCAGUGAGGCCCCCUUGCCCUCUUGGAAGCAAUUGCUGUGUAGGAAGUCUGAACACCUCACAGGAGAUGGAGGCCAGUUCCUGCCUGCUGUAGCCACCCAGCUGAAGGGGGUCCAGACACGAGUGGAGGCAUUGUGACCUCCAGCCUCAGCAGACACCUCCACACUGCGCAGGGCAGAGCAACCACGCCACCGAGUGAGCCCCAUUUGCAGACUUUGAGCAAAUAAUGAUUGUGCACGUUGGAUCAUUUAUUGAGUUUCUCUCGUACACCAAGCACUGGUUGGAUCCCAUGCUUGUUGGUGACAGAACUGCUGUGAUGCCAGUCCUGCGUCCCCUUCAGCCUGUGAAGGAGGAGCACCAUGAACCAGCCAACUAACACGUGUCUAAUCACAUAAAGGGAACUGAACACCAGAGAGCCACAGUCACUUUCCGAAGGUCACACAGCAAGUGCAAAUGAGGCCUCAUCCUCAGGGCUGGGUUCCAGGCCUGCUGGGCAGGUCGGUUACUGCUGCACAAAAUUUCUGUUAUCCUAAAAUUGUUUCAGACAAGCACCAAAGGACGUCCCAUAGUUCUGCUUGACUAAGGUUUAAUGAAGUUAAUGUUCAUACUUUCCACUCUAUUUUUCCACUCUUUAAGGAUCCAAAUUUUCUUGGUGUAGCUGCGUAUAAAAGUUUAACUAUUACAGAGAUAACCACAAAAUUUGAUGAGGCUUCAUUGAGUGGAAAACACUGUAGUCCAAAUAAAUGCAGAAAUCAUUGGUUUGGGAACCAAGGGAUAAAAUGCUCCCAGCUGUGGCAGUUCCUCUUCUACCUUCUUUGAGUGAAUUUGCAACACAGAAAAAGGCUGAUGAAGCUGAGACAUUGAUUAUCAAAGUGCCUUCACUUCCCAGAACCAUCUGACGCAAGAUAGAAUCCAGCUAUGCUUAAUCACCACUUACACAGCACUUUCUGAAAUGCUUUCUACAUCUUAGGGUAGGUUUUAUUUUCUCUUAAUGGAGGGGUUUUCCCAGGCUUGUAGGGGACAUAGUCUUCUCUGUCCCUUCCUUAUCUUGGCUUCUUCUUUGUUUUUAUUGUGGUAAAAUACACAAAGCAUGAUGUUGACUGGGUUAACCAUUUUUAAGCAUACAAUUCAGUGGUAUUAAAUUUACUCAUAAUAUUGUGCCCCCAUCACCACCAUCUAUCUCCACAACUCUUUUUAUCUUAUAAAAUGGAAACUCUGUACUCAUUAAACAACAAGUCUCCAUUCUCUUCUCCACUCACCUCUGGCAACCACUGUUCUUUCUGUCUCUAUGAUUUUAUGAAGUACUCUGUGUACCUCAUGUCAGUGGAAUCAUACAGUAUUUGUCCUUCUGUAACUGGCUUAUUUCACUUGAGCACAGUGUUCUCAGAGUUCAUCCUUCGUAUACCACGUGUCAGCAUUUUCUUCCUUUUUAAAGCUGAAUAAUAUUCCAUUGCAUGUAUAGACCACAUUUUGCUUAUCCAUUUAUGUAUUGAUGGACACUUGAGUUGCUUCCACUUCUUGGCUGUUGUGAAUAAUGAUAUUAUAAACAGGGAUAUGCAAAAGCCUCUUCAAGUCCUUGCUUUUAAUUCUUUUGGGUAUGUACACAGUAGUGGAGUUCAGGAUCAUAUGGUAAUUCUGUGUUUAAUUUUUUGAGGGUCUGCCAUACUGUUUUCCAGUGGCUGCACCAUUUUACAUUCCUUGUGCAAACAAUGCACAAGGGUUCCAAUUUCUCUAUAUUCUUGCCAACAUCUGUUAGUUUCUGUUUUCUUCCUGGUAGCCAUCAUUAUGGGUGUGGAGUGGUCUCUUGGCUCCUUCUUGACAGGGGUUCUCUUUGGAAUCCGUACCUGCCAGCCAGGAUCCCUGUCUACUGGCUGCUCCUUGGUCCUGUGGAGCUUUGCUCCUGCACUCUGCCAAGCUCUGAGGCUGGCCUCUGUUUAGGCUGCUGAUAGACACCUGUCUUCAUGCUAAGGCCUAGCUGACUGGCUGAGCCAACCUACUCCUCCAGGGCCUGCCCAACCCUGAUGGGUGCCUGACGCAGGCCUGGAACAUCUUGCUGCCUUCUCGUACUCACAGCUUAGGAAGCAAAAAGCAAGCCAGGUGUUCAUACUUCUCUGCUGGGGACAUAACAAAUGGCAUGACAAAUACUAAAGCAAUAAAUGAACUGAAAAAUAAAUGAGUUGGCAAUUAUUUAUCACAGAAUUAUCUGAGAUGGUAUUUCAAAUUAUUUCUCCCCUUAAAAAAAAGGAUAUUUUUUUACGGCAUGAAGAGUCAAAUGUAAAAGUAAAGAAAUGAAAACAAUCAGAUGGAGAGAGAUGAAUAUUUAUCAGAUUCCAGGAUGAACAUGGGCUUUGUAAUUGUAAUUCUUUGGGGAAAAUUAAUUCACCAGAAGCCCCCCUGGGAAGGGCAUGGUAAUUGCUGAAAAGAUGCCUGAUAAGCCACAUACACGGGAGGGAGAUUCCCUUAGGAAGGGCAAAGGGAUUGCAAAACUGCCUUCCAGAAAGCUGAGGACCUUGCUAAUGAGCUGACUUUAUGUUCUGCUAAGAGCUGGUAGAUGGUUUAGGGACAAAUAUCAGGCACUGUGCAAUGGAGGGGAGGGAAUUUGAGGUUUUGGUGGGGUUCAGGAAGAUACCCUGGGGGGAAUUCAUUUGUAUUUCAUAAAAAUUAAUAACUUCUGAAAACAGCAACAACAAAAAUGUACCAUGAGCAGAAAUAAGAGUACUUAAGAAACUAAGAGAAAUGUUUUCAGCAAAGAUGAAUAAAGUUUAGUUGGUAUAUUUUCAGCACUCCCUAUGAAAGGCACUCAGACUCCUGAAGAAAAUUGUUCAAGGUCAUUAGAUAAGUCAGGGGCCCCUGAGAAAAAGAGCAGAAGAUGGGAGGAUUUUAUUCAGGGAAAUGGGGGGUGAGAGGGAAGAGAGGGGAGGACUGACAGAAAGCUUGACUCCAGAGAGAGAGAGAGAAAGUUGGGAGGGAGUGCGCUGGACACCCUGGGGAUUCCAGGAACACCAGAAAGAGGACUCUCCAGUUCCAGGAGCUGGGCCUUGGUCUCCCAGCCAUGCCCUGGUGAGUGGGAGCCGCCCCUGGGCAGCGUGGCCUCAGUCCCAGUGCAGCCUUGGUUUCCCAGCAGCAGCGGGGCCUGGGUCAUCUAUACUUUCUGUGGUUGGAGUCUUGAGGUGCAUUUUGUCGGCCAGCACAGAUGUGACAAGAGAGUCCCAAAGGAAGGCAGGCAGAUGGCUGAGGAGCAUUUCUGUAGGGUGUCCUCAGCCCUCUGAGAAAGCUUCCCACAGCAAAGUUCCGUGCUGAGGCAUAGAGACCUUCCGCACUGUCCUCAGGGCCUAAACUAUGUAACCACAGCAGAAUCAAAGAUCUCCAAAUCUCAAGCACAGUCCCUUAGUGCACCUCCCCAUCCUGUGGUUGUCCAACCUGUGUCUGAAUACCUCCCAUAACAGGGUGCUCAUUCACUUCUGUGACAUUUCUGGACACGUCUUGAAGAGCUGUGGGUACAGAGCACCCUUGACUUAACUAACUCCAUCUUAGAAAAAGGCUCCAUUUUAUGUUCACAGAGCACUUUACCAACAAGGAUAAGAUAUUUUGUUUAAUAAAUGAAUUAAAAAAAAUAAGACUGCAUCCAACAAGAUAAGGUCAUAAACAAGAAUGCUCUUCUCUAUCUGUUCUCACCAGAGGACUCUGACUAGAAAAGAUUAGGCCUUCAGCAGCCUGGAAUUGGCCAUCCUAACUGACACCAUCUUGCAGUCACUUGUGAUAAGAGCUGGGCAUCUGCUUCCAAAGGCUCUGCAGCAUCAAAUACUCUGCAUUGCAAAACCAGUGGACCACCUCGCCUAGACAAGGGCUCCUUUAGCUACCCCUGGACUGGUUUGUUCACUUUUUCUUCUAUCUGUUUUGCCCUUUGAUGUUAAAUGUUACUUUGUUUGUUGUAGAAUGUUUAGCCUAUAACAUUCAUAUAUUGAUUAAGUAUACUAUGAUGUAUGGUGUGCAAUACUGACUGGCUUGUGGGGUGACUUGAGCCUGUGUGCUCAGGACUAUGUGCCCGUGACUCCCUAGUGCAUGGGAAGUGUGAUGGAGAAUUGCCUUCUUGGGAACUCCAUGUAGCUCAUGGCUUUUGUGAUUGAAAUACCUUCAAUAAAAGCCUGACAUUGUGGAAAGACACA
rnacentral:lncRNA from 1 species